GCGGCGCAGGCGCCCAGGCCGGGGCGGGGGCGCGCGCGGCGGGGGCGCGCAGGCCCGGUUCUCUCCACGCGCGCCCCGCCCGCGCCUCCGGAGCCCUGGGCCCCGCCUGUGACGUCCUGAGCGGCCGCCCCGAGGUGGGGGGCUGGCCUUAGGUACCCCCGAAAAGUAAGCCCUUGGACGACCUUAUCGUGCUCCCCCGUGCGCAGAAACAGGUUCUCCCCGCGUCCUGCAGGCCGCAGCACAGUCGCCGGGACGCCUAACAGGUCAGGACAAACGCCACCGGCCUCGGGCCGCCAGGCGCCGCUGCUGUGUCCCCGGCGCCCGCCCGCUCCCGGCGAGCCGGGAUUACGGUCCCGCUUUCAGGGGCGCAGAGGCCACCAGCAGGCGGGAAAGGCGCCUUCCUGCCGCUCUGUCGGCCUGAUUGAGCCUCGGGAGGAUGCCAGUGUGCACGGCUGCCCGGGACCCUUGUCCCCUGGCUUACAGUGGGAGUCACACCAUGGCAGGCGUCGGAACCCUGUCUCAGUAAACAUCAGAGAGGACCGGGUAUGCAUGUAGCUCAGCGGUACAGCGACACAAACAAAGAACCACAAAACGCAAACAAAAAACGUGGAAAGGGAUCCGACGUUGGAGGGUGCGGUAGGGGUUUUGGUCCUCUGACUUCUCCCUUCCUAGCCAAACACCUUUGCCUCCCCAUAGGGGUCCUCCCUCCUGGGCCUGGUGCACUCUCCCCUCUCCUGCCCCGGGAGUGGCAGCGGCUCCCCUCUGCUGCCAUCCGCAGGCUUCCUGCCAAUCCUCCUCCCACUUUUGUGUCAUCUUUAUCAAACCCUCCGAGCAGGAGCCACCUGCUGGAGCCCCGGCGGCUAACUCCAUCCUAGGAAAUUCAAAUUCCCCACGGCUUGAGAGGAAAAUGAAAAGGGACAGCUGAUUGCAAUGAGAUUGUGGUAUGGGCUUGGGAGAGGUCUGACAGACAGAGAGGACUGUGGCCCUGGAGCUAUGGAGGAAGAAAUGGAGAGAGAGAGAGAGAAGGAUUCUGCUUCUAUUGAAAACUGAUAAAUGAGUUAUACAUACAUUUUGAGCAACAGAGAAUUCAUAGAUGGGUGGAAACCAUAUGUGUGGAGCCUGCAUGUGACUUGGGAGGGAAGCAAGGUGGCCGCUGGAACCCAUGGAUUUACACGAGGUGACCAGGCAGGGGGCAAAUAGAACACAGAAAGGCCAAGAGCUGAGUCCAGAAUGGCACGAGUCGUUACCUGCGGGCAAGGGAAGCAUCGCUGUCUCGUCUCUGUCCAGCUAUCAUAUGAGCGACUCCAGCACUGGAGAACAGAAGUGGAGUCUCCCACACCCUCCUUCUCUACCGUCCUGGCCAGCAAGGGUCUUGCUAUGCAGUUCAGGCUGGCCAUGAACUCACUAUGAAGCCCAGCCUGGCCUUGAAUUUGCAGCAAUCUUCCUGCCUCAGCCUUCUGAGUGCUGGGAUUAUAGGCAUGCACCACCACGCCUGGCAGAAUUCACCAUUUAAAAGUGUAGCUCACGGCAUUAAGCACACUCAUGCUGUCCUGCGCCCGUCACCACCACCAGCUCCAAAGCUUUCAUCUUGCAGAACUGAACUAUUACCUCCCCAUCCCCCCUGGCAGCCACACUCUACUCUGCCUGGAAUGGGACCCUUGAGGUCCCUCACCUGAGAGGAAUCAUGCACGGUCUGUCCUCUCGUGUGUGAUCUAUUUCAUAGCCAUAGCAUCUUCAAGGAUCAUUUGUAUUAUAGCGUGUGUCCGAAUUUUAUUCCUUCUUACAGCAGAAUAAUAUUUCAUUAUGUAUAUACCACAUGUUGUUUAUCCAUUUAUCUAUCAAUGGAGACUACCGAUGGACACUUGGGUUGCUUCUCUCUUUUGGUUAUUGUUAAUAAUGGUGGAUAAAUAUCUGCUUUCACUAUUUUGGUGUAUAAAUUCAGAAGCAAAAUUCCUGGAUCAUAUUAUUAUUAUUAUUAUUGAUGGUGUUGGUACUGGGAAUGAACUGUCACAAUGAACUAAUCUCCAACCUUUUUUAUUUUUCGACAUAGAGUCUUGCAAAAUUGUCCCAGCUGGGCUCAGACUUGGAAUCCUCUUGCCUUAACCUCACAGUGAGCUGCGAUUAUGACAUUCACCACUACACCCAGCUAGGGAUGCUAUUUUUCAGUUUGUUGUUGUUUUAGAAAAUAGCAUAGUCUAGGUUGCCCUUAAACUCACUAUGUAGUCCCUGCUGGCCUCAAAUUUGCAGUGAUUCUCCUGCCUCAGCCUCCCGAGUGCUGGAAUUACAGUCAUACGCCGCCACACCAUACCUACUUUUAAAUUCUGAGAAGCAGCAUACUGGUUUCCAUAGUGGCUACAUCAUUUUGAUCCCUGCCAACAGGAGUAUGUUUUCUCCACAUCCUCAACAAUACUUACUCUUUUUGUUGAUGUUGUUAGUUUUUUUGGUGCAGUUGAGAGACAAAGAUAGAGAUUUAACAACAACAAAAAAAGCCUUUAUUGCCUGCAAGGGAGGGCUGCUGAAGAUAGCAAGGGCCCUCAAAGGCGAUAAAACCUGGGGGAGUGGACAGGUCACCUUGUUGGGAGAGGACUGUAGGACUUUUUGACAUAGGGAAUCAAGACUACUUGAGGGAUGGAGUCGGGAGGUGACUGGAGGACCUUUGGCACACGCACAAAAAGGAGACAGAAAGUUUAUUGUUUGGGGACCAGCAGUCGCGUACAGGAGAGCUAGACUGUUGUUUUAGGGGUCAGCGCCAUGUUGGGCAGGCUCCACACUGAGCCUGGCAGAGUCCCACACGAGUGGAGCCUGUCACUUUUCUUUCUUUUUUGUUUUUUGAGAUGAAAAUGUCCUAAAGUUGACUGCAGUGAUGGUUACAUCACUGGACAUGACUUAGAGAGGCUCCCGGAGGAGAGGAAUAACUGCUACCUGCCCUACGCACAGAACAAGUCUUUUGACUUCUGUCACAAAAGAAGAAUCUUCAGGACUAGUCAGUAAGAGGCAUGAAAAAUAUUUAUUCAGAAGAAAAAAGUAUACGCUCAGGAGUAUGGGCACUCAGAGAAUGAGACAUUAUUUUCUGGAGCUCAAAAUAUUUAUCUUUUUAUCUUUUAAACAUUUUUGAGGCAAGGUUUUGCUGUGUAGCUCAGGUUGGCCUCAAACUAGUAGCAGUCCUCUUGCCUUAGCCUUGCAAGUGCUGGGAUUAUAGGCAUGUGCCACUACACCAGCUAAUUUAAAAUAUUUUUACAUACAAUUAUUCUUUGGACUCGUCAGUCUGUUCCCUUAUCUUAAUAUCAGGUUCCUGUCCUUUAUUUUAUUUUUUAAUUAUUUAUUUAUUUGGUGUUUUUGAGACAGGGUCUUGCUAAGCAGUUCAGCCUGGCUUUGGGUUCACUUUGUAGUCCAGGCUGGCCUCAAACUUGCAAUACUCCUCCUGCCUCAGCCUCCCCAGUGCUGGGAUUACAGGAGUGUGCCAUCAUGCCUGGCUCUUUUUUUUUUUUAAAGGGAAUAAAACAGAACAAAACAAAAUAACAAUAUUGGAUUUCAAAAGCAAGAGGUAGGAAACCCCCCAUAGUUACUAUAUUGCAUACUGUUAUCCUCUAAAUAGAUACUCAGAUUACCAGUUUUGGGCCUUCAAAAUUGACCAACAGUACAAGCAUUAAGUUGUUUCUUUCUUUUUUUCUUUUUUUUGGGGGGGGAUCAAACUCAUGACCUUCUGUUUGCCAAGCAGGUGCUUCCGCCACUGAGCUAAAUCCCUGGCCCUUAAUUUGUUUCUUUACUUCAGUGGCUAUCAUCUCAGCCUGUGUUUCUUAAAUCAGCUGGUUGCUUGGGGUGGAAGGGUGCACCAGCUGGCUCACAGGAGGAUGCCCCUGCCUUUUAUCAACUAAGCUAAUUUAUAAAGUAUUUUGAAGGAAUUUGGGGUGUGAUGGACUUGGAAGAAGAGAAGCAUAAACAAAUCCAGUGAGUAGAGACCUUAAUUAUAAUUUUCCUUGUCUCUUUUCUACCUAUCUUUAUUUCUGCUACCCUGUAUCAGUUGCAGCAUCUAUGACUACACUAAAAACCACUGAAAUUCACACUUCAUUUCUGUGAUGCUUUGCAAAAGCUAGGCAAGUGCUCUGGCUACAACCCUGGUCCUAAAUUAUAUGCUUUAAAUGAGUAAAUUAUAAUGUUAUGUGGAUUCUAUCAAUAAAAGCUUUUUAUUUUCCUUAAAA